UAUGGGUAUUGGCCUUUCCCACCCUCUCUGGUCUCUUAGCAACAGAACAGCUGAUGGUAUCCACUAGGGAAAAAAAAGCACAGAACAUGUGGGGGAGCCUGUCUGAAUUCUUGCCUGCAGUCUGAUUUAUUUAAACCUUCCUGCAUUCUUGGGUGUGGAGACCCAGGAGUCACGUCAUGGGAGCAUUCCCCUGCCCUUCUGGUGACCUUCACAAAUGAGUAGAUAGAGGAAAAUCUCCAAAUGAGUUGGAGUUUCUUCCUCUGCAGGAAUCUGCCUUAUCUGGGGCAGACACUUCCUUUGAUUUGGGGAGUAACCCUUUGGAAACUUGGGUACAUUUAUACAGAGAGGUGGGAUGGGGUGGGGUGCAGGAAAGAGCACAGGGCUGGGGGGGCAUCUGCUGACUGGGUUCUAAUGGCAACUGUCUCUCCUUCCCCGGGGGAACCCCAGCAGGAAAGCCCUGGUGCUCUCGCCUCCACCCAGUGCUGGCUUUCUCAAUUACAAAGAAAAUUUAGGUGCUGUUAACAGAAGAAGAGGGAAAGGAUGCUGGGGAUUAAAAAAUUGCAGCUGAUUUGGUGGCUGUAAGACAUGGAGUAUGUAACGUGGCAGCGUGGAGAACAGGGAAGACCCGGAGCUGGGCAAUGCUGGCCUCUACCAUGUCUGUCCACUAACACAUCAUCACUUCGGAUUCCUCUCCAGACACUUGUAACACUGCUUCAGGAAGACUUUCCCAACAUCUGGAGAAGUUCUGUGUUCCCUCUGCCAGUCUGGGAUGCCUAUGUACCAUGUUGCUGGGUCUGGGAUUCAGGCUGAAGCCAAAGGCAGUUAUCCUUUAAAGUAUCCAGCUAUAAAACCACAGCCAUCCUCAUGCUCUGGGUUGCCCAGAAAUUCCAAGAAGUUUUUUUCUGCCUCACUGACGGGAACAGACUGGAAUGCACUACCGCUGAUAACAGAAGAGGCUAAAGGCCACGGAAGCAGGCAGCCCCAGGAGCAAAUCCUUACGCCACCACUUUCUGCUCAAAGAUAUCGUACAAGUUACUUAGCCUUGGUCUUAGGUCACAUUUCCUGGGAAAGAGAAACUGAGACUGAAGUUUGUGAGGAGGAGACUAAUUGGGGAGUGAGCUCAGGAAGAACACUUGAGAUGGGGAGGAAGGCAGGAUUGUGCAGAGGGAGGAGCUGGGCCAUGAUGAAGUUUUAGUGGAAACCACCGGCAAUCUCACAGGGACCCUGUAGCUGGGAUGACCCUGCAGAGUUGUCCCAGUUGAGGAUAAGUGAUGGGGCUUUUGUACAUCCAUGUUGACUGGUCACAGAUACAGACUGCCUUCUGAGAAAAGGGAUGAGAUGAAAGCUCUGUUUGGCCGAGUCUUGGGGCAGCAGCCAGAGCUCCUGGUAGCAGGCAGAAUGGGUGCCUUCAGCCUGAGAGGGCACCUGGGUAGCCACUACACCUUUGCCAACAUGCUCAAUAUAUCACAGGAUCAAGGAGGUGUCCUUGGUCACUUGACCUAAAAUUGCAACCCCUUAAUCUCAUAUUCCCUCUACCCUGUCUUUAAUCCAUAGUAUUUAUGGUGAACUGACAUACUUCGUACUAAUUUGUCUAUUGUCUGUCUGGAUCUGCUCUACAGUGUACUCCAAGCUACUUAAGAGCAGGGACUUUGUUUUGCUGGUGACUGUAUGCCCAGUUCCUAAAACAGGAGUUGGCAUGGAGUGAACUCUCAAUAAAUAUUUAAUUGAAUGGAAUAAAUGAAUAAAUAAAUAUAACACAUAGUGAGUGUUCACUAUAUGAGAAGCAUUCAAGUUCUAAACACUUGAAGUAAGUAAUAUUCACAACAACUCCAUAGGGAGACCCUAUUAUUAUCCCCAUUUUACAGAUGAAGAAACUGAGGCACAGAAAGUUUAACUGUCUUGCCAAGGCCAUGCAGCUUAGAUGUCUUAUAUUCAAGAUCAGCAGAGGCAACAGGAUUCAUAUUCCAAGGCGCUCUCCCCUCCUCCCUCUUCAGCAGGCCCUCAGUCAGAGCCAGCUAUUCCUUCCCUUCCUUCCUUCCUCUCUUUGCUGUCUCCUGGAAUGCUUGUAUGGGAAUCACAGAGUCGCACGCUUCAGAUAUCUGGGGUGAAUCUUUGGUGUUUUAUGCAUUCAAAGGGUGAUGAGAGCUUGGCUGAGCUCAAACUGCUGCCCUCUCUUCCCAUUUUCUCCAUACUGGUGCCUUAGAACCUGGUCAAGUCACACAACUUGGUAUUUUUUUCUUUAUUACUAUUUUUUUUAACAGCUGUUGACAAAUGCAGAGGCUAUUAUGGUUUAUGGUGUUCCUUUGCAUGCACCAUCUCAUUUGAUCAGCUCAACAGCCCAGGGAUAUGGGCAGUGCAAGGAUGGCCACUGCAGUUUAUCGAUGAGGAACCAGAGGCUCAGAGAGGUUGCGUGAAGCUAUUUGGAAGAAGAG